GUCCAAGCCUACUUCUAUGGAUGAAACACUUCCACCAUAUGUAGAAGACAUGGAGAGGAACAGCAACAUCAAGACUAUAUGUGGCAAAUCUCCCUUCACACGUUUAUUCAGUGGUGUUGUAGAGAAGACCAGGUGUACACAGACAGAGAGUGGCAAAAAGAAUGAAUUCUACUGCCCAGGGAUCAUUAGUGUUCUCAUGAACAACUACAUGGGCAUUUUCCCCCUUUGGAGUGGCAUAUUGCUUGGGGACCUGAGCAGAUUCUCCAAAGAGAAUACUAAAGAAAUAAAAACAAGGGAAACAAAUUGCCAUGUGUUGCAGUGGUUCUCAAUAGUGAAAAAUAACAUAUUACACACGAAAAGGUUCCUGCAGCCUGCAGAUUUCAUUACAAAGAUGUUUAACUCUCCGCAAGGAAGGUACACACAGCAUCAGAUGAUGCAUAAUCUUGAUAGUCUGUCUCAAGGAACAUCUCCAAAGCAACAGACCAUUGACCAACAAGAAGAGCAAUGGGCCAAGAGAUCACAAACUCAAAGACCAGCAAAGCAUCGUUUGAUCCACCAGAAGCAGUGUCCCAACCAAAAAGACACGAGACAAAGCAAACAUCUGAGGAUCAUUCAGAGGACACAUCGGCCCAGAUCCAAGCUCUGUGGUCUAAGAAAGCAUGUGAGAGUCAUUGCCGUCACACAGUCAAAGGACAAAAAAAAAGUCUUAUAUCCUGCAUCAUUCAGAGCUGAAAACACUCCAGCCACAUAAAUGGCUGGUGGGGGAGUGGUGGUGAAUAACAGAGACCAGGGACACAGGAUUUUUAUACUAGAUCACUACACAGCGAGUGUUAUACUUCAUGGAGGAUGAGAUGAAGUACGGAGAA